AGAGUUUGAUCCUGGCUCAGAGCGAACGUUAGCGGCAGGCCUAACACAUGCAAGUCGAGCGAGAAUAGGGCUUCGGCUCUUAGUAAAGCGGCGGACGGGUGCGUAACACGUAGAUAAUCUGCCCUCUAGCGGGGAACAACAGUCCGAAAGGAUUGCUAAUGCCGCAUGUCACUGCGGGGACUCCGGUCCCCGUUGGAAAAGGGGCCCGCAAGGGUCUCACUAGAGGAUGAGUCUGCGGCCCAUCAGCUUGUUGGCGGGGUAAUGGCCCACCAAGGCUAAGACGGGUAGCUGGUCUGAGAGGAUAACCAGCCACACUGGGACUGAGACACGGCCCAGACUCCUACGGGAGGCAGCAGUGGGGAAUAUUGGACAAUGGGCGCAAGCCUGAUCCAGCCAUGCCGCGUGAGUGAUGAAGGUCUUCGGAUCGUAAAGCUCUGUGGGAAGGGAAGAAAAAAGUAUACCUCAUACGUAUGCUCUUGACGGUACCCUCUUAGCAAGCCCGGCUAACUCU
rnacentral:rRNA from 1 species